AGCGUACACGGUGGAUGCCCUGGCAGUCAGAGGCGAUGAAGGACGUGCUAAUCUGCGAUAAGCGUCGGUAAGGUGAUAUGAACCGUUAUAACCGGCGAUUUCCGAAUGGGGAAACCCAGUGUGUUUCGACACACUAUCAUUAACUGAAUCCAUAGGUUAAUGAGGCGAACCGGGGGAACUGAAACAUCUAAGUACCCCGAGGAAAAGAAAUCAACCGAGAUUCCCCCAGUAGCGGCGAGCGAACGGGGAGCAGCCCAGAGCCUGAAUCAGUGUGUGUGUUAGUGGAAGCGUCUGGAAAGGCGCGCGAUACAGGGUGACAGCCCCGUACACAAAAAUGCACAUGCUGUGAGCUCGAUGAGUAGGGCGGGACACGUGGUAUCCUGUCUGAAUAUGGGGGGACCAUCCUCCAAGGCUAAAUACUCCUGACUGACCGAUAGUGAACCAGUACCGUGAGGGAAAGGCGAAAAGAACCCCGGCGAGGGGAGUGAAAAAGAACCUGAAACCGUGUACGUACAAGCAGUGGGAGCACGCUUAGGCGUGUGACUGCGUACCUUUUGUAUAAUGGGUCAGCGACUUAUAUUCUGUAGCAAGGUUAACCGAAUAGGGGAGCCGAAGGGAAACCGAGUCUUAACUGGGCGUUAAGUUGCAGGGUAUAGACCCGAAACCCGGUGAUCUAGCCAUGGGCAGGUUGAAGGUUGGGUAACACUAACUGGAGGACCGAACCGACUAAUGUUGAAAAAUUAGCGGAUGACUUGUGGCUGGGGGUGAAAGGCCAAUCAAACCGGGAGAUAGCUGGUUCUCCCCGAAAGCUAUUUAGGUAGCGCCUCGUGAAUUCAUCUCCGGGGGUAGAGCACUGUUUCGGCAAGGGGGUCAUCCCGACUUACCAACCCGAUGCAAACUGCGAAUACCGGAGAAUGUUAUCACGGGAGACACACGGCGGGUGCUAACGUCCGUCGUGAAGAGGGAAACAACCCAGACCGCCAGCUAAGGUCCCAAAGUCAUGGUUAAGUGGGAAACGAUGUGGGAAGGCCCAGACAGCCAGGAUGUUGGCUUAGAAGCAGCCAUCAUUUAAAGAAAGCGUAAUAGCUCACUGGUCGAGUCGGCCUGCGCGGAAGAUGUAACGGGGCUAAACCAUGCACCGAAGCUGCGGCAGCGACGCUUAUGCGUUGUUGGGUAGGGGAGCGUUCUGUAAGCCUGUGAAGGUGUACUGUGAGGUAUGCUGGAGGUAUCAGAAGUGCGAAUGCUGACAUAAGUAACGAUAAAGCGGGUGAAAAGCCCGCUCGCCGGAAGACCAAGGGUUCCUGUCCAACGUUAAUCGGGGCAGGGUGAGUCGACCCCUAAGGCGAGGCCGAAAGGCGUAGUCGAUGGGAAACAGGUUAAUAUUCCUGUACUUGGUGUUACUGCGAAGGGGGGACGGAGAAGGCUAUGUUGGCCGGGCGACGGUUGUCCCGGUUUAAGCGUGUAGGCUGGUUUUCCAGGCAAAUCCGGAAAAUCAAGGCUGAGGCGUGAUGACGAGGCACUACGGUGCUGAAGCAACAAAUGCCCUGCUUCCAGGAAAAGCCUCUAAGCAUCAGGUAACAUCAAAUCGUACCCCAAACCGACACAGGUGGUCAGGUAGAGAAUACCAAGGCGCUUGAGAGAACUCGGGUGAAGGAACUAGGCAAAAUGGUGCCGUAACUUCGGGAGAAGGCACGCUGAUAUGUAGGUGAAGCGACUUGCUCGUGGAGCUGAAAUCAGUCGAAGAUACCAGCUGGCUGCAACUGUUUAUUAAAAACACAGCACUGUGCAAACACGAAAGUGGACGUAUACGGUGUGACGCCUGCCCGGUGCCGGAAGGUUAAUUGAUGGGGUCAGCGCAAGCGAAGCUCUUGAUCGAAGCCCCGGUAAACGGCGGCCGUAACUAUAACGGUCCUAAGGUAGCGAAAUUCCUUGUCGGGUAAGUUCCGACCUGCACGAAUGGCGUAAUGAUGGCCAGGCUGUCUCCACCCGAGACUCAGUGAAAUUGAACUCGCUGUGAAGAUGCAGUGUACCCGCGGCAAGACGGAAAGACCCCGUGAACCUUUACUAUAGCUUGACACUGAACAUUGAGCCUUGAUGUGUAGGAUAGGUGGGAGGCUUUGAAGUGUGGACGCCAGUCUGCAUGGAGCCGACCUUGAAAUACCACCCUUUAAUGUUUGAUGUUCUAACGU
rnacentral:rRNA from 1 species